GACGAACGCUGGCGGCGUGCCUAAUACAUGCAAGUCGAGCGAAUGGAUUAAGAGCUUGCUCUUAUGAAGUUAGCGGCGGACGGGCGAGUAACACGUGGGUAACCUGCCCAUAAGACUGGGAUAACUCCGGGAAACCGGGGCUAAUACCGGAUAACAUUUUGAACCGCAUGGUUCGAAAUUGAAAGGCGGCUUCGGCUGUCACUUAUGGAUGGACCCGCGUCGCAUUAGCUAGUUGGUGAGGUAACGGCUCACCAAGGCAACGAUGCGUAGCCGACCUGGGAGGGUGAUCGGCCACACUGGGACUGAGACACGGCCCAGACUCCUACGGGAGGCAGCAGUAGGGAAUCUUCCGCAAUGGACGAAAGUCUGACGGAGCAACGCCGCGUGAGCGACGAAGGCUUUCGGGUCGUAAAACUCUGUUGUUAGGGAAGAACAAGUGCUAGUUGAAUAAGCUGGCACCUUGACGGUACCUAACCAGAAAGCCACGGCUAACUACGUGCCAGCCGCCGCUGUAA
rnacentral:rRNA from 1 species